GGUAGGGUGGCCGAGAGUAAGGCAGUGGGUUGUAGCCCCGAAGAUGGAGGUUUAAAUCCUCUUCCUAUCA
rnacentral:tRNA from 1 species